GAUGAAGAACGUAGCGAAAUGCGAUACUUGGUGUGAAUUGCAGAAUCCCGUGAACCAUCGAGUCUUUGAACGCAAGUUGCGCCCGAAGCCAUUAGGCCGAGGGCACGCCUGCCUGGGCGUCACACGUCGUUGCCCCCCCAUCUACUCCUUCGGGAUUGCGGGGGGCGGAUGAUGGCCUCUCGUGCGCCUCGUCGCGCGGUUGGCCUAAAUGCCAAGUCCUCGGCGACGCACGCCACGACAAUCGGUGGUUGCGAAACCUCGGUUGCCUGUCGUGUGCGGUCGUCGCGCAUCGAGGGCUCGAAAAAAUUGCCAGGCUUCGGCUCGACUUUCAACGCGACCCCAGGUCAGGCGGGGUUACCCGCUGAAUUUAAGCAUAUCAAUAAGCGGAGGA
rnacentral:misc_RNA from 1 species